AUGCUCUAUUGUAAUCUAAGGGGUCAUUUUAGGUUAAAGUUUUGCAUUUGUUGUAAACCUCUCUAUUUGAGUUGUGUACAUGUACACAAUAGUUCAUGUUUUUUCCUGAUUUACAGGAUUCAUUUUGAGAACCGUGACAAUAAAGUAGCUAAUGCUGCCGCUUUAUUCAGGUCACUUGUCGGAGGCUUUGUGAGGAAAUGCAAAUGUUCUGACGGGGGACUGAGGAGUGGGCUGAAAGUCCCGGGUUCCUCUGCAGUUCUCGCUCUCACACUGUUGAUUACCAGUGCGUUUCUGUUCACAUUCACCAUGCAGCUCUAUGGAGCCCUGAUCGUGUUUAUGACUCUGUCCACAGCAUGUGGCCUGAGAUGCUACACGUGCACAUUGGCCGACCCCAAAUCCUGCACAGACUCCAAAUCCUGUACCUUCAUCUUCAACCGUUGUUUUUCUCUCAAAGCAGAAGGUUAUAAUUUGGUGACCAAGGGCUGCCAGAGCAGCACAUUGUGUGUCGGUGCCAUGGACUGCUGUGAGGGAGACCUGUGUAAUGGAUCCGUACCCACUGGAGCCAGUGUCCUCCUCCUGCUGGCAUCUUCAGCCAUCCUCACGCUCUUACUUUGAGUCCCCGUACAGCUACUACUGUAUAACUGAGGCGAUCCUGUUAUGUCUACGCCUGUAUCUGUAUAAACUCCAAAAGACAGAAGGGUUGAAUUUCUCCGGCACCUUCAUUUGUGGCUUUUUUAAGACUAAUGGGAAUGCGGGGGCUCAGCAUCAAUCCACUCUGCUAUUGGUGUCUUGUUCACGAGACAUCAGACCUUACAGUACAUUUUAUAUUUAGAUAUGUUUUAGGACACAUUUCAUAAAACGUAACUGACGUCCGAAUCAGACACUUUGACACUUUGUGAGUUGCCAGUUAACAUUUGUGAAUAACAGCACAUUGUGUCAGUUUCAAACUGACUGGAACCGGAUCAGUCACUCUUUUCCUGCUGAGCUCCACGCAUACACAUACCCUGUUAAAAUUAGAGUGACCCAUGUCACAUUUCUUUGUAUCGCUACAUGAAGUCGUUUUCAGUGGCCAUGUUGAGAAGCGUACUGCAUUUAUAAACAUUUAUAACCAGUUAUCAUGAUGGUACAGUUUGUAAAAAAUUAAAUGUUCUGAUGAGCUAUGUGUCUGUUAGUGUAUUUAAACAAAAGAACAUCACUCAGUUAUUUUACUCUUUAAAACAGAUUUGUAAAUAUUUUUUUACAAAAAUCCCCCAGAUGGAGCAUUUGCAGAAUUUUAACCUCAUGCUUUAUGUUUCCUACUUAAAUAGUUGCUGUUGCUAAAGACAAGACACAAGAAUGCUGGGAUGGUUAACUGGUGUCUGUGUGGAAGUCAUUUCACAUCUGUGAUGUAGUGGAGUGAUAAGUAUUAUUCUCUUUAAACUCAAGAAGGAUGUAUAAAAAGUAAUACAACAGGCAGAAUAAGUCCAAAUAUAAAUGUACUUAAUUACUGUGCUACCUCUGGGAAAAUUUAAUUUUAAUUAUUUUUUUCUUCAGCUGUCUCAUACAGUAUCAGAACCUAUUCCAGUUCUUUUGAACCACUUUCAAUUCUAAGAAAAGAUGUUUUUACUAAAUGUGAAUCAGUUAUUACGAUACAAAUUUCCCCAUGCUCUUUUACGAAGUCUGAAGCAGUUGUCUGUCAUGAUGUUUCACUUACCCAUUGAUCUUUUUGUAACAGCCAAGAAUAAAAGCCAAAACUGCAGUGUAGCUGAGUUUAGU
ensembl:lncRNA